UAUCUUUAAGUGUUCUGCACGUAAACUUUUGAUGUUUAAAGGAGACUAGUCUAUAGAUAA
rnacentral:tRNA from 1 species